AAUCAACGCUGGCGGCGUGCCUCAGACAUGCAAGUCGAACGAUUAAAGCUCUCUUCGGAGAGUGUAUAGAGUGGCGCACGGGUGAGUAACACGUAAGUAAUCUACCCUCGAGUGGGGAAUAACAACCGGAAACGGUUGCUAAUACCGCAUAAUGCAGCGGCACCGCAAGGUGACAGUUGUUAAAGAUUUAUCGCUUGAGGAGGAGCUUGCGGCAGAUUAGCUAGUUGGUAGGGUAACGGCUUACCAAGGCUACGAUCUGUAACCGGUCUAAGAGGACGGUCGGUCACACUGACACUGAAUAACGGGUCAGACUCCUACGGGAGGCAGCAGUCGGGAAUUUUGGGCAAUGGGCGAAAGCCUGACCCAGCAACGCCGCGUGAAGGAUGGAGUAUUUCGGUAUGUAAACUUCGAAAGAAUAGGAAGAAUUAAUGACGGUACUAUUAUAAGGUCCGGCUAACUACGUGCCAGCAGCCGCGGUAAU
rnacentral:rRNA from 1 species